UGUGUCUAAACAAAACAAAACAAAACAAAACCCAAACAGAUAAAAGAUGAAGAAAAAGAAUUAUCGUAUCUCACUCAUCUCUUUAUUGUAAAAUAAGAAAACCAGGCUGGGUGUGAUAGUAAAGUCCUCCCAACCCAGCACUAGGGAGGCAUAAGCAGGUAGAUCCCUGUGAGCUCAAGACCAGUCUGGUCUAUACAGGAAGUUCCAAGUCAACCAGAACUACACUGUAGGCAUAAAUUUUUUGCAACCUACUUUUAAUAAGGGUUCAACAUUUCCUCUAGCCCACCACCCAGCAGAGGUAGUGGAAGAGAAAAGUGAUUAGGAUAUGGGGGAAGUAGACCUGUUCAGCAAUGGUUCUUUGAGGGCAAGCUUGAUCUUUGGCAGCAGUUCAGUCCUGUAGCAAACACCAAAUACAAUUCAGCAGCUGCAGACCAGUCCGGUCAUCAAGCAGACAUCAGGCACAAACCAGCAACUGUAGUUCAAUUCUGAAGAAACCGCCAGGCUUGCCAACCAGACUGAGGCAAGGCCACUGAAUCUGCAAGCUGCCAAAGGAGAAGGAACCCUGAGAGCAGUUCUUGGGCGUUUCAAUGUCAGAGUUAUCACAAGUUGAGCUCAACAUUGCUAGAAGGUUCUACAGCCAAUGACUGGGCAGAGGAGACCAGAAGACAGAACUUUGGGUCCCAGCCAGGGGUCUGAGUGAGAAGAGCCAGGAGAAGGGUUUACCAUGAGAAGAAGCAGAUUCAAUGGUCUCGGGUGGGAGCUAGUAGCUCUGUCACCUCCAGUAGAGCAAAAGGGAGAGACACGCCGUUGGCACCUGGCGUUGUGGUUCCUACAUGAAAACAGUGGCCGUUGGAGCCUGGACCUACAAUGCCACCUCUGUAGUCCCAGUGAAGUCUGCCGUCAGAAGCCAUCAGAAGACUGAAAGAACUGAAAGACUAGUAAAAGCCCUAUUGUCUUCAAUAAAUGGAUUAUGUAUGAUAAAAACAAAAAACAAAACAAAACAAAAAAACCUACAGGCAACAUUCCCUAUCCAUAAAUCCUGAUUGGUGAAAUAACUUGGCACAGAUGUUUGUGGCUUUGGGGCUUAAAAACCCUGAAGAAUCUUAAGGUCAUGGUUCAGUUCCUGAAUCUGGACCAUGGCCCUGGUCAACCAGUCUUGGGGAAUGUUCAAUAAACUCUCCCUGCCUGACAGA